UACGAAGGGUGCAAGCGUUACUCGGAAUUACUGGGCGUAAAGGGCUCGUAGGCGGCCAACUAAGUCAGACGUGAAAUCCCUCGGCUUAACCGGGGAACUGCGUCUGAUACUGGAUGGCUAGAGGUUGGGAGAGGGAUGCGGAAUUCCAGGUGUAGCGGUGAAAUGCGUAGAUAUCUGGAGGAACACCGGUGGCGAAGGCGGCAUCCUGGAACAAUUCUGACGCUGAGGAGCGAAAGCCAGGGGAGCAAACGGG
rnacentral:rRNA from 1 species